UACGUAGGGGGCGAGCGUUAUCCGGAUUUAUUGGGCGUAAAGUGUGCGUAGGCGGUUUAUUAAGUCUAAAAUUAAAGCCUGAGGCUUAACCUCAGUUCGUUUUAGAAACUGGUAGGCUUGAGUAUGGUAGAGGUAAGUGGAAUUUCUAGUGUAGCGGUUAAAUGCGUAGAUAUUAGAAGGAACACCAGUGGCGAAGGCGGCCUACUGGGCCAUUACUGACGCUGAGGCACGAAAGCGUGGGGAGCAAAUA
rnacentral:rRNA from 1 species